rnacentral:rRNA from 1 species
CCUACGGGUGGCUGCAGUGAGGAAUAUUGGUCAAUGGCCGGAAGGCUGAACCAGCCAUGCCGCGUGAAGGUCAGUGCCCUAUGGGCGUUAAACUUCUUUUGUGCGGGAGCAAUAAUGGUCACGUGUGGCCAGACGAGAGUACCGUACGAAUAAGCAUCGGCGAACGCCGUGCCAGCAGCCGCGGGAAUACGGGGGAUCCGAGCGUUAUCCGGAUGUAUUGGGGUGAAAGGGAGAGGAGAUGGGUUGGUAAGUCCGUUGUGAAAGUUUGCGGCUCAACCGUAAAAUUGCAAUUGAUACUGGCAGUCUUGCGUACAGUUGCGGUAGCCGGAAUUCGUGGUGUAGCGGUGAAAUGCUUAGAUAUCACGAAGAACCCCGAUUGCGAAGGCAGCUUACUAAACUGUGACUGACAUUGCUGCUCGAACGUGUGGGUAUCAAACAGGAUUAGAUACCCCAGUAGUC